GUUUACAUCCCUGACAAUUCUGGCAAUGUGACAAAUAUCCUUAAAGAUAUACAUGCUCAGAUAGAAGCCAUGUCCUCACCAACUUUGUCAUGGGAACAAGAUCUUAGCUCCUGGGUCUCUGUUACUUCCUGGUGGAAAACAUUGUUAGUCUCUGUCUUUGACAUCAAACUCAUUGGCAUAUUCCUGUGCUGUGGCAUUUAUUGCUCCAUCAAUCUGGUUCCAGUACUAAUGAAUUCUUGUUUCUCUUAUAGGCCACCCAUCCACUCAAAUGGCCCUCCAGCCUAUUACUUCUCAAUCAGACUUCUAUCAUGGACCACUCCAUAGACCCGAUUUCUAAAGGGGGACUCCAAACUGCUUGCCCAACAUCAUUCCCUUUCAGCCUGAAGAAGCCAGAAUGAUCUUUGCCUCCUUUCCUUACAGCAGUAAGGAGUUCCCAAAAUUAGAGGGGGGAACGAAGCCAGAUUUAAAGUUAGGUAAUCAGUGUAGUUAGGUAAAUCGGGUCUAAUAUCCAGUGAAAUCUAAAUGGAGGCCAUGUUGAGAAUGAAUUGAGCAACUCUCUUGGAAUGUUAAUGAAGUCCAGGAAAAAGCCCAAGGCCAAGGUCCAUCCCAAAGAAGUGUUAAUGAACAGCCCCAGCAGAUUUAAAGAUAGCCCAUCCCAAAGAAAUGUUAAUGAACAGCAAACUUGAAGAUGCUGACUCGGAAGUGCCCAGAUUACUUCUUUGGCCCACCUGUGUCCCAACCCUUUGGGCCUUCCCACCUACAUUCCAUCACCGAAAACUGUAAAAUGGAGAGACAACCGCACUUCCAUGGAUUCUAUCUCUUGGGUCCCCUUCUUCCUCCGAGAGAAGUCUUUUCUGCUGUCCUUUAAUAAACUUCUAACUUUCCACUCUGAAAAAAAAAAAAAAAGCAAACCAGUGGAAGGGUCGGGUGCAUGGUUGGAUUUGACCAGUUGCCAUGUGAUGAAAAAUGACAGUGCUCUCAGGCUUCUUCCUGUUGCUUCUAUGAUUUUUAAUUUGUUUGGGUCUAUAGCAUCUGCAUUCUGAUUUGCAUCUGUUUAUUACUCCAGAGGGUAAGUCCUCACUUGAUAUUUAAUUGGAUUCAAUGUUUACUGCUAGUCCUUUUAUCAAGGCUUUCACUUACUAAUUCUCUAAUUUGGUCAAUUUCUUGACUAGCUGUAUUUAAUAGUCAAGUAGUUUUUUUCUUAUCUUUUCUGCCUCAUUGGGAAGGGCCAUGGAUGCUUUUUUCCUCCAGUUCUGUCACAGAACUGCCUGUUCCCUCUCUGCUCAGAAGGACUGCUUGCCCAGUGUAACCUGCUGGAGCUCUCUGAUUCCUGUCAGGACCUUGGAGGCACCCCUCCAUCACCUUCUGGCACUGAAUGCUGUUAGUCAGAAGGAUAAAGCCGGGUUUAUGGUUUCCUUUCGUUGGGUCCUGGGUUUUCAUGAAUGCUUGAAGAAUUCCCUCUCUCUUGUGUGUUUUUGGUUUUUUUUUUUGUACUUGGGAUUGAACCCAGGGGCACUUUACUACUGAUCCACAUUCCCAGCCAUAUAUAUAUAUAUAUAUAUAUAUAAUAUAUAUUUAUAUAUAAAUAUAUAUUAAAUAAUAUAUAUUUAUAUAUAAAUAUAUAUUAAAUAAUAUAUAUUUAUAUAUAAAUAUAUAUUAAAUAAUAUAUAUUUAUAUAUAAAUAAUAUAUAUAUAAAUAAUAUAUAUAUCUAAUAUAUUUAUUUUUCAGUUUUCAGUGGACACAACAUCUUUAUUUUAUUUUAUGUGGUGCUGAGGAUCGAACCCAGCACCCCGCUCCUGCCAGGCGAGCGUGUUACCUUUUGAGCCACAUCCCCAGCCCUUAUUUAUACUUUUUUGAGACAGGGUCUCACUAAGUUGCUGCAGCUGGCCUUGAACUUGCAAUUCUGCCUCAGCCUUUCAAGUCACUGGACUUGGCAGGCAUGCACCACCACACCCAGCCUUGUUCUUUGGUGCUUUACUACUGAGCUAUAUGUCCUUUUUACUUUUUAAAAUUUUGAGAUAGGGUCUCACUAAGUUGCCCAGUCUAGCCUCCAACUUGCAAUCCUCCUACUUUGGCCUCUAGAGUAACUGGAAUCAUCAAAACUGAUGAAGAUUUCUUAGAAGUCCUGUUGAUGGUUUUCAUAUCAAAUUUCCCUAGUUUAGAGUUUUUUUUUAAUAUUUAUUUUUUAGUUAUAGAUGAGCACAAUAUUUUAUUUUUAUGUGGUGCUACGGAUCGAACCCAGUACCUCAGGCUUACUAGGCAAGUGCUCUACCUCUGAGCACAACCCCAGCCCUAGGGUGGAUGUUUUAAAUCUGUAGAUUCAAGUGUUCUUUGAGACUGGAGGAAUUUUUUUUUUUUUUAAUUAUGUUCUCAAAUAUUUUUUCUCUUUUCUUUUGGGUGUAAAGAGGAAUUUCCUCUUUCAGAAAAAGAUGUCAAUUUAUCCUUUAUUUUGAUUUAUUUCUUUGUGUUUGCUUUAGUCCAUGUCUUUCCCUUUGAUUAAACUCAAGUAUUUCCAGAUAUGUUUCACUUUUAAGGCUGGUCUUUUUGUGCCUUACCUUUUUUCUUAUUCAUAGGUGAUGAUGUUUUGGUUUUCUCCCCUUGCUCACUCCUUAUACUGGUUUUUGAACCUAGGGGAUCUCUAACACUGAACUACUUCCACAGUCUAUUUCAGUUUUUAUUUUGAGACCCGGUCUUGCUAAAUUGCCCAGGCUGCCCUCAAACUGGUGAUCCUCCUGCCUUCUCAGCCUCCUUAGUUGUGGAUUACUGGUGGGCAUCCCACCACACUCGGCAAUGUUUUGGUUCUUGAUUGUUUCUUUAGAUUCCCGAUUUCUCCUUUUAUUGCAUUCUUUUGUUGAUUUUUUUCUAGUUUACUAUGUGUUUGCCCCUGAGGGUCACCAAAGAAGCAGAGAGAUUUUCUCACCCCUGACACCAAUAGUACAGAACAGACACAGAAGAACUCAAAUAACCAUCAAAGCCCUGUGUAAGUUCAAGAUGGGUGAUGAGACAUCAGGUGCUGUAUGUUGAGAAGGUGAAGUUGGGACAAGUUGGUGGCUGGGGUGUUCAAAGACCUGAGAUAGAGGGCUGAGCAGCACUUCAGUGAUGCUCUGGUCUGUGGAAGACUGGCAGAAGAAGGCAGGUGGUGGAAGGUGGGCAUCACAGUGUAGGUGGGAGCCACACUAGGCAGGGUUCAUUGGGCACAGGGUUUGGAUCCUCAGGCUUCACAUUACCUGGGUUCCAGUUUUCAUUCUAUUAUUUGCUAGCUAUGUGACUUUAAGCCAGUACUUGAUCUC
rnacentral:lncRNA from 1 species